GACGAACGCUGGCGGCGUGCUUAACACAUGCAAGUCGAACGGAAAGGCCCUGCUUUUGUGGGUUGCUCGAGUGGCGAACGGGUGAGUAACACGUGAGUAACCUGCCCUUGACUUUGGGAUAACUUCAGGAAACUGGGGCUAAUACCGGAUAGGAGCUCCUGCUGCAUGGUGGGGGUUGGAAAGUUUCGGCGGUUGGGGAUGGACUCGCGGCUUAUCCGCUUGUUGGUGGGGUAGUGGCUUACCAAGGCUUUGACGGGUAGCCGGCCUGAGAGGGUGACCGGCCACAAUGGGACUGAGAUACGGCCCAGACUCCUACGGGAGGCAGCAGGGGGGAAUAUUGCACAAUGGGCGGAAGCCUGAGGCAGCAACGCCGCGUGCGGGAUGACGGCCUUCGGGUGGUAAACCGCUUUCGCCUGUGACGAAGCGUGAGUGACGGUAAUGGGUAAAGAAGCACCGGCUAACUACGUG
rnacentral:rRNA from 1 species